rnacentral:rRNA from 1 species
GACGAACGCUGGCGGCGUGCUUAACACAUGCAAGUCGAACGAAGAGCGAUGGAAGCUUGCUUCUAUCAAUCUUAGUGGCGAACGGGUGAGUAACGCGUAAUCAACCUGCCCUUCAGAGGGGGACAACAGUUGGAAACGACUGCUAAUACCGCAUACGAUCUAAUCUCGGCAUCGAGGAUAGAUGAAAGGUGGCCUCUACAUGUAAGCUAUCACUGAAGGAGGGGAUUGCGUCUGAUUAGCUAGUUGGAGGGGUAACGGCCCACCAAGGCGAUGAUCAGUAGCCGGUCUGAGAGGAUGAACGGCCACAUUGGGACUGAGACACGGCCCAGACUCCUACGGGAGGCAGCAGUGGGGAAUCUUCCGCAAUGGACGAAAGUCUGACGGAGCAACGCCGCGUGAGUGAUGACGGCCUUCGGGUUGUAAAGCUCUGUUAAUCAGGACGAAAGGCCUUCUUGCGAAUAGUGAGAAGGAUUGACGGUACCGGAAUAGAAAGCCACGGCUAACUACGUG